GGUGAUUGUAGCUCAGCCGGUUAGAGCGCUAGAUUGUGGAUCUAGAGGUCGUGGGUUCGAGCCCCAUCUUUCACCC
rnacentral:tRNA from 2 species